UGGCUUAUCUUAGUGUGUAUUGAUAAAACACCCAUAUCAGUGAAAGAAUUUCAGGGAACUCCUGGUCUGUGCUGCACAAACAGGAUUAAGCGCCUAUAGAUUUCUGUUGUUGUAUAUUGACUCUUUCCAUUUGGAUACCAAUGUUAACUCUGAGCCUUUGAACUAUGAAGAAACCACAUUCACCAAAGCAAGGCAGUGAGGUGAGCAUGGCUGUUCAUUACCGAUGGCGGAUGAACACUCUACUCAUCUCUUCCUCAGGGUCUGAGCUGUCAUUCCUUUCCCCAGGAAGAUGGAUAGUGCACGUGGAUCCUAACCUGGAUGACCUGCUCUCUGGAUGUGACAAGAUGUUCAAGUAAACCCCACUAAAUGGGGUCCAUGCAGUGCCAGACCUGCCUGGGGUAAUAUCUGAGAGGUACAUCUGCCCUGAAUGUAUUGUCUCUUUCAAUUCUGCAGACCAUCUACCACCAUAAAACACUCCUGAGCAGGAAGGAAUACAUCAGUGGAAGCCAGCUACAUUUAAAAAAGGCUGCAGUUGCUCAAAUAUAAUUUUAUCUUGCAUAUGUCUCUAAUAAAAGAUCCACUUUAUGACUAA